AGAGUUUGAUCCUGGCUCAGGAUGAACGCUAGCGGCAGGCCUAAUACAUGCAAGUCGAACGGAUGUAGUAAUACAUUAGUGGCGCACGGGUGCGUAACGCGUAUGCAACCUACCUGUUAGAGGGGGAUAGCCCGGGGAAACCCGGAUUAAUACCGCAUAAGCUAAUUGAAUGGCAUCAUUUAAUUAGGAAACAUUUAUGGCUAACAGAUGGGCAUGCGUAAGAUUAGUUAGUUGGUGAGGUAAAGGCUCACCAAGACAAUGAUCUUUAGGGGUUCUGAGAGGAAGAUCCCCCACACUGGUACUGAGACAGGGACCAGACUCCUACGGGAGGCAGCAGUAGGGAAUAUUGGGCAAUGGUGGCAACACUGACCCAGCCAUGCCGCGUGCAGGAAGAAGGCCUUCUGGGUUGUAAACUGCUUUUGGAAGGGAACAAAACGGUCGUGCGCGACAACUUGAGUGUACCUUCAGAAUAAGCACCGGCUAACUCCGUGCCAGCAGCCGCGGUAAUACGGAGGGUGCAAGCGUUGUCCGGAUUUAUUGGGUUUAAAGGGUGCGUAGGCGGCUUAUUAAGUCAGGGGUGAAAGACGAUUGCUCAACAAUCGCAGUGCCUUUGAUACUGAUGAGCUUGAAUAUAGAUGAGGCCGGCGGAAUGGGUGGUGUAGCGGUGAAAUGCAUAGAUACCAUCCAGAACACCGAUUGCGAAGGCAGCCGGCUAAACUACAACUGACGCUGAGGCACGAAAGCGUGGGGAUCGAACAGGAUUAGAUACCCUAGUAGUCC
rnacentral:rRNA from 1 species